UACGUAGGGGGCGAGCGUUGUCCGGAAUCAUUGGGCGUAAAGCGCGUGUAGGCGGCUUGGUAAGUCCGGUGUGAAACCUUGGGGCUCAACCCCAAGCCUGCACUGGAUACUGCCUCGCUUGAGUCCGGGAGGGGAGAGCGGAAUUCCUAGUGUAGCGGUGAAAUGCGCAGAUAUUAGGAAGAACACCGGUGGCGAAGGCGGCUCUCUGGAACGGUACUGACGCUGAGACGCGAAAGCGUGGGGAGCGAACGGG
rnacentral:rRNA from 1 species